rnacentral:lncRNA from 1 species
CAACCACGUGAAUCGUUAUCGUCAACUCCGGUGGUGAUUUCAUUUUCAGUCACUCUGUUCUGACAUGAACACAUUUCCAUCAAAUUUGGUUCCUAAAGUAGCAUACGAUGCGAUCAAUUAAAUUUGCUCGCUUCAUCAAACCAAAAGACCUUGGCAAUAGCCACCAAAUUCUCGAGACAUGCAUCACUAUAGAGUGGUCAUGUUUUUUACACCCGGCAACGAUAUUCAUUCGAUUGUAAUCUCUGUUUACAGAUUCUUGUUGCAAGUUGCAACAUUUAGGGUAAGACACAGAAGUUAUGUCUGUAUAGUAUAACCUCAACAAGCAUGUGUUGGCGUUCUUGCUUGGAGUUGGGUUUGCAGCAACCCAAGUUAUUUCCAUUCACCAGUACUCAUUCCCUUGGCGAAUGCUGCAAAAUAUGAAUUGGUUGUAGAAAUUCUGUUAUAAUAAUACAAUCUAUAGUUAUGCUAUUUUGUGUCUGUAUAUAUAUAUAUAUAUAUAUAUAUAUAUAUAUAUAUAUAUAUAUAUAUAUAUAUAUAUAUAUAUAUAUAUAUAUAUACUAGCUGUGUCGCACUACAUGGACGGUGGGAUUUAUCCCAAACUUUGGACGUCCCAUAUAAUUUAUUAGGGUGAGCGGGAAAUUCAAAACCAGUAUACUUGUAGACAUGGUGGUAAACUAGCCACUUGUCCAAUGGUCUGAUUAGGAUUUUGAUCUACAAAAAUGUAUGAUUAUGGGGAAGGAUGAUUAUUCUUCUAGGGCUUACUUAAACCAAUUUAUAGGAUCUAAAGAGUUAAAUGAUGCAAAGACCAAAUUAGUUUAGAAAAUAUAAAAACCAGAGUGUUGUUAGAGCAUUAAUAUAAAAGAUGUACCUUACCUUAAAUGCUUCAGCUUCAAGUUUGACAGUAAUUCAAGCAAGGGAAGGUGAUGACCACCUCUCCAGAAAUGAAUAGCUUAAUAUUGUCAUCAAAUCAAAUAAGGAGAGUUGGUGCAAGACUUGUAUGUAGCAAAUAAUGGAGUUUUAAGAAAUAUAUAUUUAUUUUAUUUAAAAAUAUAUAUACAGCUAAUCCUUUGGUA